AUGAUGAUGUGCCCACCCCAGAUAAAGAUUUUCAGUAUUUAUUUGUUUGGGUUCUGCUUAUAUGUACCCCUCUUCAUCACCAAAGAUUUGAGGCUACUGAAAAUGAAAACUGAAAUGGCAAUAAAAGAGAGGGGGUUGCAGAGAGGACACAGGACGGGGAAAAUAGAAAUAAUCGCAGAAAAUUAUGACCUGAUGAAGAGCACAAUCACAGAAGCGGUGAGAGAUGGCAAAGUUGCCAGAGGGCUGCUUGCGUGUCCUUACAAUAUGGUGACUCUACCUUCCCUCAGAAAGAGUGAUCCAAGAGAAAUCAAGGACAUGCCCCUGCCUCCUGGGAGACAGGGAGUGCUAUGAUAACCGAAGGAGGGCACAGUGUCCCCUUGCAGGAGCCGCUUUUGAUCCUGCCAGGACAAUCAAUCCUUCAAGAGCAGCAAGGCCCUGUAGGUACAGGAAGAGAGUGACCCUCAGAUCCCUUCCCUUUGCCCUAAUCGGGGCCACAUAGUAUACCAGAGACCUCAGGGGUAGUGACCCCAGAUGUUCUCAGAGGACUUCUAACCUUUGAACUUGGGGAUGGACAUAGGGGUAUGGCUAGCACUGCAGCCUGGCCCACAUGGCUGAGCCACCACACCCAGCCUAAAAUGGUAUCUUUUCUCCUUCUCCUCCUUCGUCUUCAAUUUCUUCUUGAAACAGCAUCUCACUCUGUCAUCCAGGCUGGAAUGACAUGGGUGCUGGUCAGCACACCUAUGGGGCACUAACCCAGGCCCACAGAGGAGUCCUUUACUUCCAAGUCACCUGAGGAUCCAGUGGUGACCAGGGAGACUCUGACCUGAAACUGUGCUGGCUCUGGGGGACUGUUGGAUAAGCCAAUGUGGGCCAGGCAGGAGUUCAAACACACUUCCCUGGUGCCCACAGGGACUCCCAGCACACGCUCUCCUAUGGGUGUCAAUGAUUCAGUCUUUCUUGGUGGCAUAGGAUAUAGCCUGGAGAAGCUCUGGGGAAUAUUUCUUUUCUUACUUAUUUCUGGUUUUAAAAGUAAUACUCAGGAUGACUAUUGUUAAAAACAAAAUAAAAAGAAACCAGAAAAUAACAGAAAACAACAAGCGUUGGAGAGGCUGUGAAGAAACUGGAAGCCUGGGCGUCACCAGUGGGAAGGUGAAAUGCUGCCGUUACUAUAAACAACAGUUUGGUGUUUCCUCCAAAACGUAAAUAUAGAAUUACCAUGUGACCUGGCAAUUCCACUUCUGGAUAUAUGCUCAGAAAAACUGAAAGCAAGGACUGGAACAGAUAUGUGUACACCCACGUUCAUAGCAGCAGUUUUCACAAUUGCUUAAUGGAUAGAGUUUUCUGUUUGGGAUGAUGAAAAAAUUUUCAGAAAUAGUGGUGGUGGUGUUUGCACAACAUUGUAAAUGUGAUUAAUGCCCCACCUAUAAAUAGUUUAAAUGGUAAAUUUUAUGUCAUAAAAGUAAUACUAAAAUUGUCUUUCUUUCUUUCUGUCUCUCUUUCUUUUCUUUUUUUCUUUCUGGCAGGGUCUUCCUCUGUUGCCCAGGCUGGAGUGCACUGGCAUGAUCUAAACUGGACCCAGCCUCAACCUCCUGGGUUCAAGCAAUCCUCCCCCCUCAGCCUCUCGAGUAGCUUGGUCCACAGGUGUGCACCACCACACUUGGCUAAUUUUUGCAUUUUUUGUAGAGACAUGGGUUCGCCAUGUUGCCCAGGCUGGUCUCAAACUCCUAAGCUCAAGCAAUCCACCUGUCUCAGCCUCCCAAAGUGCUGGAAUUACAGGCGUGAGCCACCACACCCAGCCUAAAAGGGUAUCUUUUCUCCUUCUCCUCCUUCUUCUUCAACUUCUUCUUGAAACAGCAUCUCACUCUGUCACCCAGGCUGGAAUGCAGUGGUGUGAUGUCGGCUCACUGAAGUCUCUGCCUCCCCAGUUCAAGUGAUUCUCCUGCCUCAGCCUCCCAAGUAGCUGAGAUUACAGGCACACGCCACCACCCUUAGCUAAUUUUUGUAUUUUUAGUAGAGACAGGGUUUCAGGCCAGGCACAGUGGCUCACGCCUAUAAUCCUAGCACUGUGGGAGGCCGAGGUGGGUGGAUCACCAAAGGUCAGGAGUUCAAGACCAGCCUGGCCAUCAUGGUGAAACCCCAUCUUAAAAAAAAAAAAAAAAAAAAAAAAGAAAGAAAGAAAAAAAAAAGAGACGGGGUUUCACUAUGUUGGCCAGGCUGGUCUCAAACUCCCCACCUCAAGCGAUUCCCCUACUUGGCCACCCAAAGUGCUGGGAUUACAGGUAGGAGCCACCGUGCCUGGCCUAAAAUGGUCUUACAUCCCAACACUACAUAAAUGUAUAAAUUAGAGAGCAAAAGCCAACCCUCCUGGGAUAAGCUUGUUGCCUAGCCUUCCAGAUUUCUCACUUCCAUAUAAACCAGAUGUUAGGAUUCAAGUAUUAGUACGAGUGGGUAGAAGCCACCUGUCCUUUGCAUAGGGGGCAUCCCCCUUCUCCAUGGGGUUCUUGACACCACAGCAUAGUAGAGAAAGAUUCCAUAGUUGAAUGUUCCCUGCUCAAAUCCCAUUCUGGCUGGGUGCAGUGGCUCACGCCUGUAAUCCCAGCACUUUGGGAGGCCGAGGCAGGUGGAUCACAAGGUCAGGAGUUCAAGACUAGCCUGGCCAAUGUGGAGAAACCCUGUCUCUACUAAAAGUACAAAAAUUAGCCAGGCAAGUUGGCAGGCACCUGUAAUCCCAGCUACUUGUGAGGCGAAGCCGGGAGAAUUGCUUGAACCCAGGAGGUGGAGGUUGCAGUGAGUUGAGAUUGU
ensembl:lncRNA